rnacentral:lncRNA from 1 species
GUUUAUCGAGUUGGAUUAGCUGGGUCAAGUUUUUGGCCCAUAAAAGAGGCCCAAGAAAAAAUAUUGGGCCCAUGUGUGGCCCAGCCCAGUAUGCAGUAUCGUGAAAUUGAAACAAUGACCCGCACGCGGCUGUAAAAGUCUUGUCAAAACCCUAUAUUUCAACGGCUACUACAGCUAGGUCAAACGUGUCGUUUCCAUUUCAAAGAAUUCCUGACGAUCGGACGAUGCAAAGAGAUGUGCAUCAAACAUGGACGCUCAAAAUUCGAUCCAAAGCCAACAACUUCCAUUUCCAUUUCAAUCACAAUUCAUCACAAACUAUUCGCAAGUUUUUCGAAUUUUCAAUCGAGCUUAAGCUCCGCCCAUUUCUUUUCAAAUUAAAAUGCGAACCCAGAUCAUCAUUUUCCUGGAAAAGAAGAUCUUUCAAGACUAGAUCACUUCAAUUUUUGCAGAAUCUUGGCAUUCCGAUUGCAAAAAACAAAGGCAUUGUAGCCAGAAGGAGAUCUCGUAUCACGACCCUAAAAUGGUGUGCUCGUAAGGUAUGUUCUACUCUGAUUUCAAAUAUUCGUGUUAAAGAUAUGGAAGUCUUAUCGCAUUAAUAAAAUUAGUAAUUUUUUUUUCACGAUUACAAGUGCAGGGAUCAAUUUGUGAGAGUUCAUUGAUACUGAUUGGAAGCCUUGCUCAUUUGUAUCUAUCAAUCUCCAAGAAUGGUGAAGAUCCAAUAUUCAUACUUGGUUCAUUUAUCUGUUUAUACUUUGCUUUCUUGCUGAAGAAUUAUUGGAGAAGAAAAAUAAGUUGUAAUUCAUUGGGAGUAGUGGUUUUUGCAACAUUGGGUUGUUGGGCAAUUUCGCAUCUGAGUAACCAUUUCUAUGGGAGCAGCUACUAUAUUUCCAGAUUUAUAUGGAGGGCUUGGAAUUAGGCUGCCUAUGUUUUUAUGAUUUAUUUCCCAGGUAAAUAAAAUAUUUCUAAAGAUUAUUUAUUUAUUUUUAUUUUUUUUAGGGUUUUCUUCUCAAUUGGAAAUUAUGAGCCUGAAAUUUUUCCAACAUUUUCAGGUAAUUUUUACUGCAGUUUCACUGGGGUCGAGAGAUAGAGGUGAUCUUCAAUCGAAAAACAUUGAUUUGUAAGAUUCUUUAAGCGUUGUUUUAGCUUAUGCAUGACCCAAUAAGGUGUUAAUAAACUUAACUUCGUGACUCGAGUCUUGUUUUAUUAUAUAAGAAUUCCAGAAUUUUAUGCAACUGAAAAUUUGAGAUUGUAGCAAUUUUGGAAGCCUUUUUCUUACUUAUUUUAAAAUUUUAUUUCUAAAAUUGUAUGUUCAGAUUUCAAGUUGUUCCUAAUGCAGUACAGAUCUUGGUUUGGUUCUUGCAUCACAUGUUAAAAUCCAAAGAAAAGUAUUAUCAAUACAGCACUUUUGACAGUUCUCU